rnacentral:rRNA from 1 species
UGUCUAAUUAAAACAAAGCAUUGCGAUGGCAGUUGUCGGUGCUGACGCAAUGUGAUUUCUGCCCAGUGGUCUGAAUGUCAACGUGAAGAGAUUCAUCAAAGCGCGGGGAAACGGCGGGAGUAACUAUGACUCUUUGGGAAGGCAAAGUCCAACCACAGACCUCCUCGUGGUCCUUUCAGGGCAGCGGGACUGGAA